UUUAAAGAAAUAGUUUAUUUUUGAUUGAACUAAAGACAAAACGGAUAGUUAAAAUGUAGCAAAGACCAAAGUAGAUUAAAUAAYGAUUGUGUGAGCUAUUUAAUUUUUGAGAGUAGAGUUUUAAUAUUGCAGCAGCUCACUUUAGUCUUGGCCCUACUUUGUAUUAACCAUUAGCAUGUAAGAAAAAACAUGAUCAGUAUUGGAAGUCGGAAUAAGUUUGCAAAAAAAAAGAGUUGAUUCUCUUCUAAAAUUCUUUAUUCAAAAACCUGAACUCCAUUCCAGCUCACAGCUUGUCAGCCAGGCGGGAGCUGUGAGGUUGAGGCCUUGAGUCUUAUYAGAAGCAAAACAAAAACAAACCCUCUCAGGAGCAGCUGUUCUAAAAAAGAAUAAUGAUGAUCACCAUAAAGUCACUUGUACAUAAACCUAACUUCCUGGUCACACCCCUGGAGGCGGUCCUUUUUACAUCAGACAUCGUAAUGUAAAACAAACUUUGUUUAUCCUGUUAAAGAGGGUCAUAAUGAUAGAAACAUACUGACUCUUUCUAUGUUUAAAGUAAAUGACUGAACAUACUGUACAAGACUGGAUCUGAAGUUUUCAGUUAAUAAUACACAAAAUUUCUUUCAAGCUCAUCAGUUUGAACUGUUUGUCCAAACCGUGGUCACCUAAAGAGCUAUCUACAUCAGCAAAUAAGAGGACGUCUGGAUGGACAGAUCCGGUACUUUUUGCUCCCGUCUCCAGUCGAUGGCAGCCAGCAGAGGUGGGCUUCCUUCAUUGAUCUCCAUGCCAAGUCUUGUCACAGGCUGGUCCUCGUGCGGUGAGAUCACUGGGCGCUGCACGGAACCGACUUUCGAUGGCUUUCGACCCGGCUGAUCGUUCUACCGUUAGACUCAUGCAUGGAAAGCCAGAAUUAGAGCUGUAAGGUGACUUCUUGUUCAAUGUUUUUAUAAAUUCACUCAGGACAAACUAAAUGAACCAAAGAGAGGUUUGAAACUUGAGGUACUUUGUCCCGCUAAGGAUAUGGUAUGGUAGUGUUUUUCUCAGAAAAAAAAAAUCACAGAGUAAACGAGUUUCAUAUUUUCUGCAUUAGAUAUGACAUGAAUUAUAGUAUAGACUCAGUAAAAUUGUUCAAUAAAGCAUUCUUAGUUUUAUA